AUUGAACGCUGGCGGCAUGCCUUACACAUGCAAGUCGAACGGCAGCACGGGAGCAAUCCUGGUGGCGAGUGGCGAACGGGUGAGUAAAGUAUCGGAACGUGCCCAGUCGUGGGGGAUAACGUAGCGAAAGUUACGCUAAUACCGCAUACGAUCUAUGGAUGAAAGCGGGGGAUCGCAAGACCUCGCGCGAUUGGAGCGGCCGAUAUCAGAUUAGGUAGUUGGUGGGGUAAGGGCUCACCAAGCCGACGAUCUGUAGCUGGUCUGAGAGGACGACCAGCCACACUGGGACUGAGACACGGCCCAGACUCCUACGGGAGGCAGCAGUGGGGAAUUUUGGACAAUGGGCGAAAGCCUGAUCCAGCCAUGCCGCGUGCAGGAUGAAGGCCUUCGGGUUGUAAACUGCUUUUGUACGGAACGAAAAGGUUUGGCCUAAUAAGCUGAGCUCAUGACGGUACCGUAAGAAUAAGCACCGGCUAACUACGUGCCAGCCGCCGCGGUAAUAC
rnacentral:rRNA from 1 species